GGUAUUUUGACCGUGCAAAGGUAGCAUAAUCAUUAGUUUUUUAAUUGAAAGCUGGAAUGAAAGGUUGGAUGGAAAAUAAGCUGUCUCUAUUUAAAUUUAUUAGAAUUUUAUUUUUAAGUUAAAAAGCUUAAAUUUUAAUAGAAGACGAGAAGACCCUGUAGAGUUUUAUUUAUUUAAUAAAUAAAAAUAAUAGUAUUAAUUAUUUUUAUUUAUUAAAUAAAUUUAGUUGGGGUGAUUGAAAAAUUUAAUGAACUUUUUUUAUAUAUACACAUUGAUUUAUGAUUAUUUGAUCCUUAGUUUAAGAUUAAAAGAUAAAAUUACCUUAGGGAUAACAGCGUAAUUUUUUUUGAGAGUUCUAAUCGAAAGAAAAGAUUGCGACCUCGAUGUUGGAUUAAAAUAAAAUUUUGGUGUAGAAGCUAAAA
rnacentral:rRNA from 1 species